UACGAAGGGGGCUAGCGUUGUUCGGAAUUACUGGGCGUAAAGCGCGCGUAGGCGGCUGGAUAAGUCGAUUGUGAAAGCCCCGGGCUCAACCUGGGAAUUGCAGUCGAGACUGUUCGGCUAGAGUGUGGGAGAGGGCAGUGGAAUUCCCGGUGUAGCGGUGAAAUGCGUAGAUAUCGGGAGGAACAUCAGUGGCGAAGGCGACUGCCUGGCCCAACACUGACGCUGAGGUGCGAAAGCGUGGGUAGCAAACAGG
rnacentral:rRNA from 1 species